rnacentral:tRNA from 1 species
GAAAGAGGCUCGACAGCAACGAUGACUGCUAAUUUUCGCCACCCCUGUUAAACCCCGGGGCUCAUUCG